rnacentral:rRNA from 1 species
UUGAACGCUGGCGGCAUGCCUUACACAUGCAAGUCGAACGGUAGAGGGGCAACCCUUGAGAGUGGCGAACGGGUGAGUAAUAUAUCGGAACGUGCCCAGUCGUGGGGGAUAACGCAGCGAAAGCUGCGCUAAUACCGCAUACGAUCUAUGGAUGAAAGCGGGGGAUCGCAAAGACCUCGCGCGAUUGGAGCGGCCGAUAUCAGAUUAGGUAGUUGGUGGGGUAAAAGCCCCACCAAGC